rnacentral:rRNA from 1 species
AGAGUUUGAUCAUGGCUCAGGAUGAACGCUAGCGGGAGGCCUAACACAUGCAAGCCGAGCGGUAGAGAUUCUUCGGAAUCUUGAGAGCGGCGCACGGGUGCGGAACACGUGUGCAACCUGCCUUUAUCUGGGGGAUAGCCUUUCGAAAGGAAGAUUAAUACCCCAUAAUAUAUUGACUGGCAUCAGUUGAUAUUGAAAACUCCGGUGGAUAGAGAUGGGCACGCGCAGGAUUAGAUAGUUGGUGAGGUAACGGCUCACCAAGUCAACGAUCCUUAGGGGGCCUGAGAGGGUGAUCCCCCACACUGGUACUGAGACACGGACCAGACUCCUACGGGAGGCAGCAGUGAGGAAUAUUGGACAAUGGGUGAGAGCCUGAUCCAGCCAUCCCGCGUGAAGGACGACGGCCCUAUGGGUUGUAAACUUCCUUUGUAUAGGGAUAAACCUACCCUCGUGAGGGUAGCUGAAGGUACUAUACGAAUAAGCACCGGCUAACUCCGUGCCAGCAGCCGCGGUAAUACGGAGGGUGCAAGCGUUAUCCGGAUUUAUUGGGUUUAAAGGGUCCGUAGGCGGAUCUGUAAGUCAGUGGUGAAAUCUCACAGCUUAACUGUGAAACUGCCAUUGAUACUGCAGGUCUUGAGUGUUGUUGAAGUAGCUGGAAUAAGUAGUGUAGCGGUGAAAUGCAUAGAUAUUACUUAGAACACCAAUUGCGAAGGCAGGUUACUAAGCAACAAC